CAGNCGAUACGGGCACGACUAGAGUGCUGUAGGGGUAACUGGAAUUCCUGGUGUAGCGGUGAAAUGCGCAGAUAUCAGGAGGAACACCGAUGGCGAAGGCAGGUUACUGGGCAGUUACUGACGCUGAGGAGCGAAAGCAUGGGGAGCGAACAGGAUUAGAUACCCUGGUAGUCCAUGCUGUAAACGGUGGGCGCUAGGUGUGGGCUGUGUGUUUGCAGUCUGUGCCGUAGCUAACGCAUUAAGCGCCCCGCCUGGGGAGUACGGCCGCAAGGCUAAAACUCAAAGGAAUUGACGGGGGCCCGCACGAGCGGCGGAGCAUGUGGAUUAAUUCGAUGCAACGCGAAGAACCUUACCUGGGUUUGACAUGCACCAGAUCGGCGUAGAGAUACGUCCUCCCUUGUGGUUGGUGCACGGGUGGUGCAUGGUUGUCGUCAGCUCGUGUCGUGAGAUGUUGGGUUAAGUCCCGCAACGAGCGCAACCCUUGUCUUAUGUUGCCAGCACAUUUUUGGUGGGGACUCAUGAGAAACUGCCGGGGUCAACUCGGAGGAAGGUGGGGAUGACGUCAAAUCAUCAUGCCCUUUAUACCCAGGGCUUCACACAUGCUACAAUGGUCGGUACAACGGGUUGCGACACUGUGAAGUGAAGCUAAUCUCUUAAAGCCGGCCUCAGUUCGGAUUGGGGUCUGCAACUCGACCCCAUGAAGUCGGAGUCGCUAGUAAUCGCAGAUCAGCAACGCUGCGGUGAAUACGUUCCCGGGCCUUGUACACACCGCCCGUCACGUCAUGAAAGUUGGUAACACCCGAAGCCCAUGGC
rnacentral:rRNA from 1 species